AUGACAUGGGUUUACUCCUGGCACGGCUCCUGGGGCAGACCCGACAGUGGCCACGAGCCGGGAGCCCCAGGAGCGCGGAGCUCAUGCCAGAAGGAGCAGGGUGUGGCCAGAACCAAGCAGGUACCCGGCAGGAUGGGCAUUGCCAGGAGCAGGCAUCCGAGGGGGGUGAGGGUGGGGACAGGGGCACUCCGAAUGAGACCCCUGCCUGUCAAGUGGUACGUGCACGGCGGCAAGGCCAGCCAGCUGGCCAGGGUGUGGAGUGGCCGAGAGAGGCCAGGCUGUGUCACCUGUUCCUCAGACCCAGACACCUCAGCACGCUGUCAUGAGGUCCUCAUUACAGGGGACCUGAGGACCCUGCAGCUGCCACCACGAGCGGCUCACUUCACAAGUGCCAGCCUGGCCCCACCUGCAAGCUGGGUUCUCCGCUUCCACGCUGGUUACCAAGGCUCGGCCACCUCUCAACCAGCCACCGCCCCAAGGGCAGCCUGUAGUCGGACCGAAUCCAAGAAAGCCUCCGAGUGACCAUGUCACACCUCCGAGUCCCAGCAGAAAAAGUGGUGUAAGUAAUUCUAAUAGAAACAGAGGGACGCCUCCCCCCAAACAGAAAAGGCCAGCCUUUUUGUUACAUCCCAUCGACGGCAGCAGCUUCGGCCCAGCCAACGUGGACCCCGGGAACCCGCAUGCAGAAGGGACCCAGUGUGACGGGAGGCUUUCGUUUAACUUGGCCCUGAGGGACCAGAAUGGAAGGGGGGCCCAGAGUGGGGGGGGGACACGUGUCACAGAGAAGGACGCUCCCCAUCCGUCCACACCCCACGGACCUGGGUCUCGAGGGAGCCCUCCCCGCAGACCAGACCUCCCCGUCUCUAGAAGGCGCUCAGCGUGACAAGCACUGUCACGGCACCGUGCGCCCCGGGCAGGAAGGAACAGCGCGGGGCGUCCGCGUGAUGAACUGGCUCGUCCUUCAGGCUUGUAGCCCGUCUGCCUCGUUCCUCGGUUGAGGUUUUACGCGUGUGUUUUGAGAAGGAAGUGUGGGACGUACGUGUCACCGGAAGCUUGAUGUACACAGAACCCGUCCUGCGCGGUGAGGCCACCCACAGUCCCCGUGUGAAGGGGCCUGCGUGGAGGUGCACGUCCUCCCGGCUCAGUGAGGACGAGGCCAGUCUAGCUGUUUAAUCCCCUUGUGACUGAAGCGCACGUGAUCCAGACAGAGUGGUCGCCACUGAGCAAGGCCUGUCUGGGGGGCAUCGGGGGCCAGGACCGGGACAGAAGCUCAGCCCCCCUGACCGUCCACCUGUAGGAGGUUCCUCUCCUGCUCGGGGCCUGGACUGUGCUCACGAGAGCCCCCCAUCUGCCGGCCGCUCAGGGAGGAGCAGGAGACGGAGGUCAGGCCUGAGGACAAAGGAAGGGGACUGAGCACCCCCUGCGGCAGCUGCAGUCGCUCGGCCCUGUCCCAUCGCAGCUGGGGGACCGCUGCCCCCCGUCCUUCCCAAGGGACGAGGGUGCACAAUGGCCUGAUGCCUUC
rnacentral:lncRNA from 1 species